UAGAUUCUUCGGAUGAAGGUGCUGAGCGGCGGACGGGUGAGUAACGCGUGGGUACCCGCCUCAUACAGGGGGAUAACAGUUAGAAAUGACUGCUAAUACCGCAUAAGACCGCAUGGUAAAAACUCCGGUGGUAUGAGAUGGACCCGCGUCUGAUUAGCUAGUUGGUAAGGUAACGGCUUACCAAGGCGACGAUCAGUAGCCGACCUGAGAGGGUGACCGGCCACAUUGGGACUGAGACACGGCCCAAACUCCUACGGGAGGCAGCAGUGGGGAAUAUUGCACAAUGGGGGAAACCCUGAUGCAGCGACGCCGCGUGAGCGAAGAAGUAUUUCGGUAUGUAAAGCUCUAUCAGCAGGGAAGAAAAUGACGGUACCUGACUAAGAAGCACCGGCUAAAUACGUGCCAGCAGCCGCGGUAAUACGUAUGGUGCAAGCGUUAUCCGGAUUUACUGGGUGUAAAGGGAGCGUAGACGGAUGGGCAAGUCUGAUG
rnacentral:rRNA from 1 species